UCUUAUGGUCGGGCGCAAUGGGAGACCUUUACGGGUCUGCCGGUUCCUUGGUGCCGGUUCGCCAACCUGUUGUUGCCUGACCACCCUU
rnacentral:antisense_RNA from 1 species